UUAAGCGACUAAGCGUACACGGUGGAUGCCCUGGCAGUCAGAGGCGAUGAAGGACGUGCUAAUCUGCGAUAAGCGUCGGUAAGGUGAUAUGAACCGUUAUAACCGGCGAUUUCCGAAUGGGGAAACCCAGUGUGAUUCGUCACACUAUCAUUAACUGAAUCCAUAGGUUAAUGAGGCGAACCGGGGGAACUGAAACAUCUAAGUACCCCGAGGAAAAGAAAUCAACCGAGAUUCCCCCAGUAGCGGCGAGCGAACGGGGAGCAGCCCAGAGCCUGAAUCAGUGUGUGUGUUAGUGGAAGCGUCUGGAAAGGCGUGCGAUACAGGGUGACAGCCCCGUACACAAAAAUGCACAUACUGUGAGCUCGAUGAGUAGGGCGGGACACGUGGUAUCCUGUCUGAAUAUGGGGGGACCAUCCUCCAAGGCUAAAUACUCCUGACUGACCGAUAGUGAACCAGUACCGUGAGGGAAAGGCGAAAAGAACCCCGGCGAGGGGAGUGAAAAAGAACCUGAAACCGUGUACGUACAAGCAGUGGGAGCACGCUUAGGCGUGUGACUGCGUACCUUUUGUAUAAUGGGUCAGCGACUUAUAUUCUGUAGCAAGGUUAACCGAAUAGGGGAGCCGAAGGGAAACCGAGUCUUAACUGGGCGUUAAGUUGCAGGGUAUAGACCCGAAACCCGGUGAUCUAGCCAUGGGCAGGUUGAAGGUUGGGUAACACUAACUGGAGGACCGAACCGACUAAUGUUGAAAAAUUAGCGGAUGACUUGUGGCUGGGGGUGAAAGGCCAAUCAAACCGGGAGAUAGCUGGUUCUCCCCGAAAGCUAUUUAGGUAGCGCCUCGUGAAUUCAUCUCCGGGGGUAGAGCACUGUUUCGGCAAGGGGGUCAUCCCGACUUACCAACCCGAUGCAAACUGCGAAUACCGGAGAAUGUUAUCACGGGAGACACACGGCGGGUGCUAACGUCCGUCGUGAAGAGGGAAACAACCCAGACCGCCAGCUAAGGUCCCAAAGUCAUGGUUAAGUGGGAAACGAUGUGGGAAGGCCCAGACAGCCAGGAUGUUGGCUUAGAAGCAGCCAUCAUUUAAAGAAAGCGUAAUAGCUCACUGGUCGAGUCGGCCUGCGCGGAAGAUGUAACGGGGCUAAACCAUGCACCGAAGCUGCGGCAGCGACGCUUAUGCGUUGUUGGGUAGGGGAGCGUUCUGUAAGCCUGUGAAGGUGUGCUGUGAGGUAUGCUGGAGGUAUCAGAAGUGCGAAUGCUGACAUAAGUAACGAUAAAGCGGGUGAAAAGCCCGCUCGCCGGAAGACCAAGGGUUCCUGUCCAACGUUAAUCGGGGCAGGGUGAGUCGACCCCUAAGGCGAGGCCGAAAGGCGUAGUCGAUGGGAAACAGGUUAAUAUUCCUGUACUUGGUGUUACUGCGAAGGGGGGACGGAGAAGGCUAUGUUGGCCGGGCGACGGUUGUCCCGGUUUAAGCGUGUAGGCUGGUUUUCUAGGCAAAUCCGGAAAAUCAAGGCCGAGGCGUGAUGACGAGGCACUACGGUGCUGAAGCAACAAAUGCCCUGCUUCCAGGAAAAGCCUCUAAGCAUCAGGUAACAUCAAAUCGUACCCCAAACCGACACAGGUGGUCAGGUAGAGAAUACCAAGGCGCUUGAGAGAACUCGGGUGAAGGAACUAGGCAAAAUGGUGCCGUAACUUCGGGAGAAGGCACGCUGAUACGUAGGUGAAGCGACUUGCUCGUGGAGCUGAAAUCAGUCGAAGAUACCAGCUGGCUGCAACUGUUUAUUAAAAACACAGCACUGUGCAAACACGAAAGUGGACGUAUACGGUGUGACGCCUGCCCGGUGCCGGAAGGUUAAUUGAUGGGGUUAGCGCAAGCGAAGCUCUUGAUCGAAGCCCCGGUAAACGGCGGCCGUAACUAUAACGGUCCUAAGGUAGCGAAAUUCCUUGUCGGGUAAGUUCCGACCUGCACGAAUGGCGUAAUGAUGGCCAGGCUGUCUCCACCCGAGACUCAGUGAAAUUGAACUCGCUGUGAAGAUGCAGUGUACCCGCGGCAAGACGGAAAGACCCCGUGAACCUUUACUAUAGCUUGACACUGAACAUUGAGCCUUGAUGUGUAGGAUAGGUGGGAGGCUUUGAAGUGUGGACGCCAGUCUGCAUGGAGCCGACCUUGAAAUACCACCCUUUAAUGUUUGAUGUUCUAACGUGGACCCGUGAUCCGGGUUGCGGACAGUGUCUGGUGGGUAGUUUGACUGGGGCGGUCUCCUCCUAAAGAGUAACGGAGGAGCACGAAGGUUGGCUAAUCCUGGUCGGACAUCAGGAGGUUAGUGCAAUGGCAUAAGCCAGCUUGACUGCGAGCGUGACGGCGCGAGCAGGUGCGAAAGCAGGUCAUAGUGAUCCGGUGGUUCUGAAUGGAAGGGCCAUCGCUCAACGGAUAAAAGGUACUCCGGGGAUAACAGGCUGAUACCGCCCAAGAGUUCAUAUCGACGGCGGUGUUUGGCACCUCGAUGUCGGCUCAUCACAUCCUGGGGCUGAAGUAGGUCCCAAGGGUAUGGCUGUUCGCCAUUUAAAGUGGUACGCGAGCUGGGUUUAGAACGUCGUGAGACAGUUCGGUCCCUAUCUGCCGUGGGCGCUGGAGAACUGAGGGGGGCUGCUCCUAGUACGAGAGGACCGGAGUGGACGCAUCACUGGUGUUCGGGUUGUCAUGCCAAUGGCACUGCCCGGUAGCUAAAUGCGGAAGAGAUAAGUGCUGAAAGCAUCUAAGCACGAAACUUGCCCCGAGAUGAGUUCUCCCUGACCCUUUAAGGAUCCUGAAGGAACGUUGAAGACGACGACGUUGAUAGGCCGGGUGUGUAAGCGCAGCGAUGCGUUGAGCUAACCGGUACUAAUGAACCGUGAGGCUUAACCUU
rnacentral:rRNA from 1 species